UCGGGGCUCGAAGCUUUUGUUGUUCCCCAUCUCAGGCUUCUUCCCUCAGCCCAUGUGAGUCACAGCUUAUGUGUAAUCUGACUGUGGGACCUGUGCCUGUGCAGGAAAAAGCAUUGUAUGUGAUGGGACCUUGUGCUGCAGUACUCCAGGGUAUAGCUAAUUGCUUCUUUUUUAGCUCUCUUGGAACGCUGUUAACUCCAGAAGCUCUCAAUGACCAUUGGAUCUGACUAAAGGGUCUGUUUUCCUGCUGUUUGCCUUUAUCAGAUGUGUCUGCAAGGGGAUUCUUCACCACAGUUGCUGGAUUUCAGAGCCCAACAGACGUGGAUGGAGGGCAGAGGAAGGAGCAGACAUGUUACAGAAGGGGAUCCAGGUGGGAAUAAUAUUUAUGGGAAGAUUGCCCACACCUCAUCUCUGCUACUGUGUCAGCUGCUGGAGUAGAUGGAAUGAGUUGUACUGAGCUUGUCUGGCUCUGAAAUAUCAUCUCUGCACCUUAACCAGGAGCAAUAUUAGAGUCCCAGCUGACUAAUAAAACUCAGUCUUAACCCAGGAGCAAAUUCAGCAAUGCAUG